rnacentral:rRNA from 1 species
GUGUCAGCCGCCGCGGUAAUACAGAGGUGGCGAGCGUUAUUCGGAAUUAUUGGGCGUAAAGGGCGCGUAGGCGGCGUGGUAAGUCCUGGGUGAAAUCCCUCGGCUCAACCGAGGAACUGCCUUGGAAACUACCGCGCUCGAGGCCGGGAGAGGGUAGCGGAAUUCCCAGUGUAGCGGUGAAAUGCGUAGAUACUGGGAGGAACACCGGUGGCGAAGGCGGCUACCUGGACCGGUUCUGACGCUGAGGCGCGAAAGCGUGGGGAGCAAACAGGAUUAGAAACCCCAGUAGUCC